AAAGAAAUGUGUGUAAACAGAAAAGUAGCUAUUUAGUGGAACGCAGAGUUUGCAUGAAGUUAUGUUUAAUUUCUGAAGAGCUACUCGAAUCCAGUAGAGAGCUAGAGGACACUCUUCCUUAUAGGAAACAGAUUAUCUUCUGAAACAAGCCAGUAUCCCGAGCCGACCUGAGCAUCAUCAUUCACCCUAAGUGGCUCAAGGUGGACAGCUAACAUGCCUCCUGACUCUGGAGAAGUCACAUCAGGGAGUGAAAUGACUGGAUGUCAGCAAGAGCUCAACCCAUACAGUCCCACUGAAGAGGGUUAAGAAAGAAGAAAAGGGAUGAUUGUGCUCAGAGAGAAAAUCAUUUAAGAACAACUGUUAUGGAGGCUGUACACAACAGUUCGAAGUUGGAUGAAGUCAGGGGCUUGUGCCAUCCAGAAUGGACAGAGAGGAUCCCACCAAAAAAGAGCCAGUCCGUGGUUCUGUCAAGGUCAAUGCCCAGCAACUCGGACUACAGGAGCUUUCUGCAGGAGGGACUUCAGAAUCCCACCCCACCGCCUGAAAAUUCGGAGGAGUAUUUGAUGAGUUCAGCAACAUGUACUCCCAAACCAAAGAGGAAGAGAGGAACUAUUGCGCUGUAUGUGAAGGAACUCUCUAGGCUGCGGUGAUCCUAAACCCCUGCAAUAGAAGAAUCCCUGGCGAUGCUUAUUGAAACUCCGGAUUCCUAGGACCUGCCCGAUUCCUUCUGAAUGGUAAGCUCUGAGGUGGGGACCCAGACUCUAUUUUACCAGGCUCCCCAGCACGGAUGGUACUAGGCGGAGGCUAAUGAGGUGCUUAUGACAUGACCCUGAACUCGUACAAACAACCCAGAGGGUGAGCAUGGCCCCUGUGUUGCGCCCCAUGCCCCUCACUUCCCGGACCCUAGGCCCGGCCCUACUUCCAAGACUUUGGAAUUCUGAGGCACAUUGGUGACACGUUGAACUGUGUCACUUCCAAAAUUCCUGUGUCGGAGUCCUGAUCUCUCAUACCUCAGAACAUGACUGUAUUUCAAGACAGAGCCUUUAAAGGGGUAAUUGAGGUUCAAUGAGGUCAUUAAUCCAACAUGACUGGCCUCCUUAUAAGAGGAGAUUGGGGGACGCCUGGG